CCUACGGGAGGCAGCAGUGAGGAAUAUCGGUCAAUGGCCGGAAGGCUGAACCAGCCAAGCCGCGUGAAGGACGAAGGUGCCAAGCAUUGUAAACUUCUUUUGUCAAGGGACAAAAUGAGGCUCGAGAGCCUGACCGAGGGUACUUGAAGAAAAAGCAUCGGCUAACUCCGUGCCAGCAGCCGCGGUAAUACGGAGGAUCCGAGCGUUAUCCGGAUUUAUUGGGUUUAAAGGGAGCGUAGGCGGGUUGUUAAGUCAGCGGUAAAAGCCCGGGGCUCAACCCCAGCGAGCCGUUGAAACUGGCUGUCUUGAGAUGUCUAGAGGUAUGCGGAAUGCGCAGUGUAGCGGUGAAAUGCUUAGAUAUCACGAAGAACUCCGAUUGCGAAGGCAGCCUACUAAACUGCCACUGACAUUGAUGCUCGAAAGUGUGGGUAUCAAACAGGAUUAGAUACCCUUGUAGUC
rnacentral:rRNA from 1 species